rnacentral:rRNA from 1 species
GACGAACGCUGGCGGCGUGCUUAACACAUGCAAGUCGAACGGUGACGGAGGAGCUUGCUCCUCCUGAUCAGUGGCGAACGGGUGAGUAACACGUGAGCAAUCUGCCCCUGACUCUGGGAUAACUGCGGGAAACUGUAGCUAAUACCGGAUACGACGCGCGCAGGCAUCUUCUGCGCGUGGAAAGAAUUUCGAUCAGGGAUGAGCUCGCGGCCUAUCAGCUUGUUGGUGAGGUAAUGGCUCACCAAGGCGACGACGGGUAGCCGGCCUGAGAGGGUGACCGGCCACACUGGGACUGAGACACGGCCCAGACUCCUACGGGAGGCAGCAGUGGGGAAUAUUGCACAAUGGGCGCAAGCCUGAUGCAGCAACGCCGCGUGAGGGACGACGGCCUUCGGGUUGUAAACCUCUUUUGGCAGGGAAGAAGCGAAAGUGACGGUACCUGCAGAAAAAGCACCGGCUAACUACGUG